GGGGCGAAAGGCUCCGGAGGGUCGGCGGCAGGUGGCAUUCAGCAGAGCUCUGAGUGCUUGCUUACAGUCGGCCGCUGCUGGUACAUAAUUUGCAGUCAGGAUCACAGGACAGAAAAUGCACAGGAUUUGUGUUCGGCAAUCUCAAGCACAACAAUUCGAUCUGCUCUAUCGGCCAUCACCUGAGCACCGUUCGCCCGUGAGUGUGGUGGAAGCGAAGCUGAAGAAGACAACACACCAGUCCCAGCGAGUAGAAUCCGAACCCGUGGGGGAGAGGCCGUUCGCUUGCUCUAUGAGAUUUGGAUAAACCCACCUGGAGUGAAACCUGGUAAAGCACCCAGUUAUUGACGAAGAAGACAGAUAUUUCCUUUGUAGCACCAGUGUAUCAGUUGUUGACCCUCAGUGAAAUCCGGUGGAACCGGGGUGCUGAGAACACAACAGAUCGGAUCACUGGAGAUCAGCUCUUCAUUGACUGUGCGAGGAUUCACCACAUCUGACAUCUGACUUUAUGAAUUGACAGCAGGGAGAUAUCAUUCACCUGCUCAGACUGUGGGUAGCGAUUCACGCAGUCAUCUAAUCUGCAGAAACACCAGCAAGUUCACACUGCGGAGAGACCGUUCAUCUGCUCUGAGUGCGGGAAGAAAUUCAGUAACUCCUCCAAUCUGAUGAAGCACCAGCGAGUUCACUCUGGGGAGAGACCGUUCAUCUGCUCUGAGUGUGGGAAGGGAUUCACUCGAUUAUUUCAUCUGCAAGUGCACCAACGCAUUCACACCGGCGAGAGACCGUUCACCUGCUCUGAAUGUGGGAAGACAUUCAUUGACUCAUCGACUGUAGUGAGGCACCAGCGAGUUCACACUGGGGAGAGGCCGUUCACCUGCUCUGAUUGUGGGAAGGGAUUCAGUCAGUUCUCCAAUCUGCAGAAACACCAGCGAGUUCACACCGGAGAGAGGCCGUUCACCUGCUCUGAUUGUGGGAAGGGAUUCACUCAGUUCUCCAAUCUGCAGAAACACCAGCGAGUUCACACCGGAGAGAGGCCGUUCACCUGCUCUGAUUGUGGGAAGGGAUUCAUUCAGUCAUUCAGCCUGAUGAACCAUCAGCGAGUUCACUCCGGGGAGAGGCCGUUCACCUGCUCUGAAUGUGGGAAGGGGUUCACUCAAUUAUGCAAUCUGCAGAAACACCAGCGAGUUCACACUGGAGAGAGGCCGUUCACCUGUUCUGAAUGUGGGAAGGGAUUCACUCAAUUAUCUGAUCUGAAAGCACACCAGCGGGUUCAUAACAGGGAGAGACCGUUCGCCUGCUCUGAAUGUGGGAAGAGUUUUACUCAGUUAGGCAACCUGCAGAAACACCAAUGCAUACACACGGGAGAGACUGGUCACCUCUGAAUGUGGGAAAGGAUUCAUUCAGUCAGUCAAGUCACUUACAGACACACCAGUCAGUUCAUUCUGGGGAGAGACUGUCCUGCCCAUACAGUGGGAAGAAAUUCAGUAAUUCAUCCACUCCAUUGAGACACCAAGUUAACUCUAGGGAGUUGCUGUUCGCCUGCUGUGAAGGUGGGAAGGGAUUCACUCAGUUAUCUCAUCUGCAAGCCCACCAGCGAGUUCACUCUGGGGGGAGAUCACUGAAUGUGGGAAGUGAUUGAGUCAAUCAUCCAGCCUUGUGAUCCUCUCUGUGUACACAUGCUGGAUGUUUAGCCAACACACUGGCUGAAUGCAGAGGCAAGUUCAGCAGCGACAAUUCAGGUUAGACUGCUAUUAUUGCCCCUGCUCGUCCCACCCAGUUCUGCACCCUGGUCAGUGGACAUGGGAGGAGUUGCUUCCUCUGACAUUGACCUUUAAUGGUUCUGGAGUUUAAUAUUCUGGAUCUAUGACAAAUAAACCAGUUUUGAAAUUAUUUUAAACUUAUUUUGGGCAUUAAGUGAAUUCACAAUACAACCAGUGUUAAAUAGCGUGUCAACUCAGCCCAGUUGGACCCUGACAGUGUUUCUAUUCCACCACAGGGCGUUUAUAUCUAUCCCUGCUCUUCACCUCCCUGUGGCGAUGGGUUCCAAAUUGACACCACUCUGUGAGUGAAGAGCUUUCUCUUGAAUAUCUUACUUCAAGGAAAUUCACUGGGAGACUUUCUACAGACUGAUGAGGACAAGAUCCUUCCUGACUCUGCUGCAAACUCAGUGCAUGGUAGAGAGGCUAUUCCGCCCAUCUGGUUCUUCCUGUCCCACCACCCUGUAGCGAUGUUCUUCUCUCUCUCUCUCUCUGUUCCCCUUCAGUCCAUCCCUGCCGCUCCCCUCAGUCUGUCCCUGUAGUGAUGUUCUUGUCUCUCUCUCUGUUCCCCUUCAAUCCAUCCCUGCCGCUCCCCUCAGUCUGUCCCUGUCGUGACGGUCACCGCUCUGGGUGGAGUGACCUCACCGAUCACCUGGUCUCCCACAACUUGGGCUCGCUCUUCCUUCAAACUUUAUUUACUUGUGCACCGGGACUAUGGUCCGGCCCCCGUCACCGAACUGUUCUGAAACUUCAGCUCAGAGUUGUCAAUUUUAUAUCGAUAUUGACCAACUAAAACCUUGUGCUUUAAAUCCCUUAUUUGGUUAUAUAGAAUACCAAUCAUGAUACAUUUUUAUAGGUGGUAAUCACCAGCAAAAUUACAUAAUAGGUGUUCCUUCAGUUCUUUUUAAUCUGUUGGAAAGUGGCAAGGUAGUUUUUGUCAGAGUUGCUCAUUCAGGUAGAGUCUUGGUUUUAGUUACAGUUAUUGUCUGAUGGAAAGUGUGUGCAUCUCCUUUCUCCUGCUUUGGUCUGCUCCGUGGUUACAAAAUGAGUAUUUCUUCCAAGCACCUUGCUCACUUUAGCUGCAGGCUAUCUUAACGGCUGCCACAGAUGUUUCCCUUGUUUUUCCUGCAGAGCUCUGAUGUUCCCCUUAUCCUUAAUCGUCACUGCUGAAGGGGUAUGCAGUGGGGAAUUUAGCACUUAUUUCCAGUUCAGUGGUAAUUUAUUUCUCCAUGUGAAGGGGCAAUAAUUUCCUAAAUCUAAAUGAAGAUAAAACUGAAAUACCUUUAGUUGGUCCCAAAGCCAAAAGAGAUAAACUUCUUGAUGAACUUGGGAACUUGGCUCCCCCUGUAAAAUCAGAAUUAAAAAGCCUGGGUGCUAACCUUGAUUCAGGUUUGAAUUUAAAAUCCCACAUCUAGAAAGUGGCCAGAGCAAUUAAGAGAUACUGCAAAGGCACGUGUGACAAGAUGACCCAGGCGAGAUAGACUGCUGCUUGGUCAGGACCCAAGAGCUGGAGUAUACGAGACUAGAAUCGGGGCACGAUACGAGACUGGAAGAGAGACGGGCUUCUAAACUGGACGCUAGAUGAGAACCCAAAGUUGAGCUGAUGAUUGAGCACCGAUCCAUAGUUCAGCUGCUCUUUAAAUAUUAAAAUCCUGUUGGCAAAACAUGACAGCAAACAGUGGGGUGGGGCGGAAUCAUUAAAGCCCCAGCUAUCCAUAUUCCGGAGAGUCAGAGCGUCUGAACCCCGGAUGCUGGCACAUCGGGUGCUUGUUGCGUAAUUAUGUUGUAAAAUUAAUUCACGCCUUUAUUGCCUUCCAAAGCAAUCUAUUGACAAAUUUCAAUUCAUUUAAACCACCACUGCUGGACGUUUAACUGAAACCAAAAUGAGGGAGCAUAUGGCUCCCAUCCUGACCACUCCCCACUGGCUGCCCGUAUCUUGUAGAGUUAAUUUUAAAGUUCUCCGACUUGUUUUUAAAGCUCUCAACGUGGGACCUGACUAUUUCACAGAUGUUUCAUUUCAUUUCAUAAUCUUGCUCGAGCUCUCAGGUCUUCCGCUGCUCCUUUAAAUUUGACCAAUCUCCCUCAAAAACUAAUUGCCACCCUCCCCUUGAUCUCAGCCCUCUCCCUCUCCCACAUCCCUCUUUCCAUCCUCCCCCUCCAUUCCUCGCUCCCUCACCUUGCCCCUGCUACCCUUAUCCCUCUCUCCACUUGACCGACCAAUUCCUCAUCCCCUGACACUCCUCACCCUCUCAAUCACCUCUUACCUCCCCCUCACCCUCCACCCAUCCCUACCUCCCUCCACCUGCCUUUUCCAUUCCUCCCCCCGCCCUGCUCUUGAAACAUUCCCCCAUUCUCCGUCCUUCCCAAUGUCCCCUGUUACCCUCUUCCCCAGCCCUUCUCUCGUAUCCAUUCAAUCCCCCACUUACCCUUCCUUCCUCCCUCCUUCCAACUCGCACCGGCUUACUCACCCUCUCCACAAUCUGUCCCUCUCACUUUUUUCACACCCUCUUUACCUCCCCCUCCCCUCUCUGCCCCACUCUUCCUUGUGCCUCCCGCCCCUCCAUCCUACCAUCCCUGCUCACAACCUCACCCCUCAUUCCCUCUCCCUGUCCAUCAUUCUCCAUUCACCCUCAUUCCACCCCACCCUACACCACUGUCCCCUUCUACCUCCCUCUCUCUUAACCAUUUGCUCUCUCUCUCUUACUCGAUUCCCUCUCUCACUCCAUCCCCUCUCUCCUUUGCUCUUUCCCACUCUCCAUCCUGUUCCUCUCCACCCCACCCCCUCCCUCCCUCCACCACUCUCUUUCUUCCACCGUCCCCCUUCCCUCCCAUCCCUCACUCCAUCCAUCCCACUACAUACUUUCUUGCACCACUUUGCCUCUCCUCCUUCCCACCCCACCCCCAUGCUUCCCUCAUCCCCUCCCUCCCCCAGCCUCUCCGUAUCCAUCAAUCCUUUCUUCACACUGUCUCCCACCUACCACCCUUCCCUGGCACGCCGCUCCCAUUCCAACCCCUUCCCCGCAUCACUGGGACCCACUCUGCCCCUCCAAUACUCGUCUCUGUGAUGUCCUCUUCCCCUUACCCAAACCCCUCUCUGUAAGGCAAUAUUGCCCCCCCCAAAUAUUUGACACCCACUUCAGCUCUCCUUCCCAAGCUUAGCCCCCCCCCCCCCCCACGACACCGGCUCGGAGAGCCUCAAUCCCUGCCUUUCUAUCGUUCGUCUCUGGAUCCCCUUCCCCACCACCCAUCGUCUAUCCCCAGCUCUGCAUACCGCUGUGAAUAAAACAGGUCAGAGGAGCAGAAUUAGGCCACUUGGACUAUCGAAUCUCUUCUGCCGUUUGAUGAUGGCUGAUUUGUUUUCCCUCUCAGCCACUUUCUCCUGGCUUCUCCCUUAAUAAUCAAGGACCGAUCAACCUCUGCUUUAAACAAGUUGGUCUCCAGGGCGGCUUGUGGGAAUGGACCCAGAGAUCAGUUCAUUAGGUACCUAAUAAAGUGGUCACUGAAGACGUGUUCAUGGCCUCCGUCUCCUU